rnacentral:misc_RNA from 1 species
AGGUAUAUUAGGGGGAGGGGGUUGCUCCGAGAGGACCCUCCACGGUGGGAUGGGAUAAUCAAGGUAUGGAUGUUCUGAGCCCUAGACACGGGUCCCCCUCGUGUCACAGCCUCGGUUAGGUUGUACGUUAGUCCAAACGUCAGGGUAGCAGAGGCAACCGG